GUCAAACCUCCCCUAAGCCCAGCAGCCCCACCCUGGCUCCUUCUUCCCCCAAGCCUCUGGGGAAGGCAGAAGAAAGCAUUCCCGCAUGGGCAGAGAAUUGGAGGCAGCCAAAGAAUGCAGCUGCACCUCCCUUGCCUUUCAGAGAUCCAUCAUCCUAGCUCCUGUUCCAUAGCAUCUUCAGUAACCCUGAAGACUCAGAGAUAGCUCUUCUGUGAGGGCCUGAAAAUGAUUCCUGAGUUCUAGUGAUGACAAUGCAAACAUAAAAAGAAGUAAAGCCAUGGGAAGCAAGAGAAAGGAAUCACAGAUGCAGAAAUGCAGCAAAUACUACUUUUGCAAACAGAAGAUUGACUUUACAUGAAAAAGAACAGACCAGCUCUCUCAGCUGCCACCACAUUCCUAUUGACUAUCUGACAAAUUACAAGAGGAUGAAGUUACCAAUGGAUUUUCUACUGGUGCUUUAACAAAUUGAUGUUUUAUAAAAAUUAUAACCUGACUAGCAGUUACACGCCUGGGGCACAAAGGAGCACAAAAAAAUUGGACAUAUUAACGAAGGCUGAUUUAUAGGUAACAUUCCAGUGAUAGGGAACAUUCCAGCUAAGCAAGACAACAGGACUUGUAUUUAAACAUGUUUACCACCACCAUCUGUCUAAAUGAACCUAAGCAUCCUUGGAAUCCCAGCUGGUCUUUUAAGCCUCUCCAGUGUCACAUGACACUGAGGUAUUACUUUGUGACAAAGCCUGACAUGCUUUUAAAACUUGACAGAACCACGAAAUGCCUUUUUUCCCAAAAUGGAAAGCUUGACAGACUAAAAUUCUUAGUGACUUUUCAAUACACAACUCUUUUACACAGUAGCUUGUCCAAUUUUAAUUGGCUAACUCCAUUAUUCAGAUAUAGGUUUGCUUAGAUGGAUCCAGCCCACUCAGGAAAUUUUGUAAUU